AAUUACGUCCAACAUUUGGGGGAGGGGGGGGGGUCUAGAAAAGUGUGACAGUACGUGUAUUGGGUAUAGGAAAAUAGCGUGACAGAGGGGGGAGGGAGGGUCUAGAAAUCCCGAAAAACUAUGGACGUAAUAUUUGAAUCUUCCCUAAAUGAUAUUUUUUGUGGUGAUCUGUGAAAAGGUGCUAAUUGGACGCGAAAAAGUGUGUUCAAAGGACGGACGGCAAAAAGGCCGACGGAGUAUUUCUCUAGAGCGAUAAAUUGCUUAUGAGCAAGAGUGUAAAUGUGUCAAAAGAAAAAAAAAAUUUUUUUUAUUCAGUGUGGUGCCGUUAUGCGGGGUGAUAUUAUACUUCAGCAUUAUGAAACUGAUUGCAGAACGCCAGCUAUUUGUAAUGCUGAAUUUCUCCUGCACACGAAUCAGCCAAGUUUGUCGAUUACCACCAAACCGAAUUUUGUGUAUUAGUUCACAAACAACAAUAGCUCAACUGGUUUCAUUAUUGGUGUUGAGAUAAUUUUAUAUUUUGAAUUUGUUGAAUAGCCCCUCGUCGGAUUUUGUAAUGGUUGACAGCUCGCCCAUGCAUAUACUCAUCUGUCAAAAUGUGAAAUAAAGAAAUCUAUUUGGUAUUUGUUUUUUGAGUAUCAUAAUUAAGUUAUACAAAUCUGAAGAAAAAAUAAUAGUGGUUCAGAAAUGUAGUUCCUUCGUACAAAAUUCAAAAACCCACAACUUUUUUUUGUAAUGUGGAGCAGAUCUGGUGUUAUGGUUAAAUCACGUGACUAUCACGCCGAGGACCUGAUAUCGAAUCCCACUCCCGGCCAACUCACAAAAUGUGAGUUCCUUCUUCGGAAGGGAAAUAAAGCAUGGGUCCCGUGAUGGACUGGCCCAAGGUUAAAAAUCUCGUUAAUACAGAUAAAAAAAUAUAAAAAAAAAUGUUAGAAAAUGAUAAUAUGCAUACUUUACUGCCAUAUUUAUUGGAACAGCUGUAAAUCUUCAACGGCUGUUGUAGGCAAUAAGCAAAAGUAUCACAAGCCUUAGUAAUCCAAAAAUAGAAUGUCAUGAACGCAUAAACAAAACAUAAAAAUUCACACAUUUGUGUAAACCUAACGGGGUUUGUAAGAGAAUAACUAUAGUCAUACAUGACGCAUUUUUUAUACAAUCUGUACGAAUUAUUCUAUGUAUUUAUUAUGCUCUUUGUCUGAACACAAAUAACGUGGCAAUUGUUUUCAUAAAAUGCCUAACAGAUAAAACUUAUGAAAAUAGAUAUGCUUCGAUUAAAUCAUAUGUACAUGAUAUAGAAUAAUAAAUAAAAAAAAAAAUAACAAAAUCUGUUCAUAAAAUUAUUUAUUUUUUUGUUUCUCUUGACAAGUUUUUGCUUUCCAAAAGAUAAUAUUGGCAAAAUGGUUAUGAACUGUAUUGGGUUAAGUUACUCUUCCUUGACACGGUUCAAAUAAUGCUUAACAAAUAACAUUUUAAAGCUUUGUAAAAAAGCUGAGAAGUGCGAUACUCUCCCAAUUGGGACGUAGUUCUACAAUGAGGCAGUGUAAAUAAAAUUCAUUUUCAAUUUUAUAAACUUUAUGAGUAACUUACUCAGAAAAUACUACUCCAUAACUGAAAAUAAAAUUCUUGUUAAAACAAUAUAUGAACAUUUCUAGAUUGAGUUUGAAUGAGGGCAAAAGUAACAUGAUCUAUUUCCAGCAUUUGAUUUUCCAAAUGUUUAAAAUGUUUUAAUCAUGGCUUCAAUACUUAUUUGAAAAUUUUCCACAUUAAAAUUUCACCAUAAAAUAUGUAAUAACAUUUCCUCGUAGUUAAUGUGAUGCUGAUUUUCACCAGUUCCUGGCAAAUAUGGCCCCACAUAACAGAUGUGGAUCUUCGAACAAAUUUGAAGUUUCGAAGUGGAAGUCAUGAAAUUGUCACUUGGAAAACUAGAUUGAAAUGAAUCUCCAUCAACAGACAUCAAGGCGUGCCCGUUGUAGGCUAAAGCUUGACUUCCACCACCAGGUUCGCUAGUGUUCAGCUAUCAAACGAGCAGUGCUUUUCGUAACGAAGAUUUACCCCCUGUGUCCUUAGCCCCGUGCCAUUAAAUAUUCUGGAGCACCUUGCCCAAAUUUCAAAAAGAAAAAAAAAACAAAAUUUCUGAAUUAUUCAAUCAUAAUUUUCAAAACGUAUAAACGUUCCAUCGAACAUGUAUUUGACAAGUCUAUUCUACAGUAAACUCAAUUAUUUCUGGAGGGGCUUUCGACUGAGGUAUCCAGGUUUGAUUUUCGGCGUGACAGUCGCUAUUGCAAUCAAACAAUCAGAUAUUCUCUCUAAUCCGACGUUCCGAUGUGUAUUACAUCUUCUUCAGGGAAUAAGAAGUGUUAAUAGCUUUCGUUUUGAACGGCUUUGUGGAAACAUAAUCCGUCCAAAAAAACUAUUUAAAAAAUACGUUGGAAUCGACUUUUUGAACACUAGAUUUAGCCUAAUUCGGUUCGCACUUCUAACAACACUACUGACAUUUUUUUACUACUUUACUUAAAUAUUUCAAAUGUUGUCAUUAUUCACUCCUUUUUCGGGUUCGAAUAAAAUGCAAUCCCGGUUAGAAUACUAUGCUCGAUCGUAUUAUUCAAAAAAGCGAGAUUUCGUCUUUAAUUUUAGGAACCAAUUAACAUUUAUAUAACUUUGUUAUUCGUUAACUAAUUGUAAAAUUUCAAUUUGAAAUAUACGUGAGAAUGAUUUGUUUUAUUUUCUCUUGGCGGAUUGUCAAAAGCCCAAUCGUCCAAAAAUUUAAAAAAAUUUCUGAAAUUGAUAUCAUAUAUCAUUUUUAACUUCUGAAAAUGUCAAUAGUCCAUGGCGACUCAAAAAGAGCUGUAACGGACCUGGUGUGAUGAUUAAUGGGAUCGAAUUUACUUCCGGAAAAUUCACAAAAUGUGAGUUCCUCCUUCGGAAGGAAUGUACAGCGUGAGUCUUGAGAUAAACUAGCCAACGGCUAAAAAUUGUGUAACACAGAUACAUAAAAAGAGGUGCUCUUUAUGACAAAAUAUGAAUGACAUUAAUUUUCCUAAAUGAGUUUUUUGUAUCCUUUUAAAAGUUUAGAGAAAAUAGAUAAACCAGUCAUAGGAAUGAAGUGGCAACAUUUUUCAGAAAUUUUAACGCAGAAUAAUCCUAAAAUUUGCAAAAAAAUGUUUUGGAAAACAUCCUAAACCAAUUUUAGCAAACCUGCACCAAUAAAAAAGGCGUGUUGAAAUUUGUUUACUUGAUAGCGGAAACUGCUACCUCAGAAAGAGGAUUUUCUUUUUAAAAAUACUUUUGAAACCUCCAAAAAAUUAAAAAAUAAAAACAACUAUUAAUUAUUUUUAUUUUUGCUUUAUUUAUUAAUGCAACUGUAAAAGUUACAAAAUAAACUCUAGAUACAAUUUUGAGAGAGCAAGCUGAUUAUCUUACAAACUUACUUAUGUAAUUCUUAACACUUAAUUAAAUACAAUUUUCAAUACAUACUUCAAUUAUUUUUACAAAUAUUUUAGUUAAAUUUUAGGUAUCUCAAAGUAUUCUUCAAAAUGUAUAAUAUACAUUCUUAUUGCACUUUUUGAAUAUUUAUUGUCAUGAAAAAAAAAACGAAAAAUUGUUAAGUGUUGUCCAAUAAGUCCAGAAAAAAAAUUUCAAGUGCAAAUUGCUAGGAUUUGUUUUUGAACACAUUUCAGAAAAAAAAUUGAUAGAAGAGUUUUUUAAAGCCGGUUCUAAUGAAACUGGGCAAAAGAUUUUAAAUUUAUUGACGUUUGUAAAUGGAAAUACAAUUUGCAAUUUUUUUUCUAAUUAAUAACAUGUCGUUCUAACAAAGUAAUACAAGAACUCUUUUGGGAAACACAGAAGAACUUCUGGAAGAAAUCAAGUGCAAUUUUGUUAACAUUUUAGAAAAAAAAUCGAAAAUUAUUCUGUUGCUGAUAUGUAGUUAUUGCAAAAAUAGCAAAUAUUUCUUAUGGAAAUUUAAUACAAAUAUUUUUCAAAUAUACUUAAAAGUUGAGUUUGGAUCCCUACCAUAUUUUUCUCAAGAACUGCUCCAGAGAUUACUCCAAUGGUUCUCUUACCUUCUUGGAAUUCUGCUAUCAAAUUUUUGAGAACUCUCGUCAGGAACUGCUAUUGGAAUAAGCUAAAAAUUUCUGGAAAAAUCCAAAUGAAAUUGCCUCCUUCAUCAAAUUCCAUAACAUAUUUCAGGUGCAUUUCCGCUUUUAAAAACUUCGUCAGUGCAUCUUUUCAACAUUAUAAUAAAUUACUUCAAGAAAGAUUCGGGCUACAUAGCACCCUAAGGCUUUAUGACAAUUCAGUAACAAAUUUUGAAAACGACGUAUAAGCAAUGCUACACCAUUGCUUAUACGUCGUUUUCAAAAUUUGUGAAUGAAUUCAUAGUCUAAACGACGAAUAAUGGAUCAAGGGUUUAUAUUGGCUCAUUAUUUGAUGUUUGUUCUAUGUUAAACACAAACGUGUUGAAAUCUCAGUUCAACAAUGCAAUGUUCUUGCUCACUUGUAAUUUGCUUAAAAUCAAAUGAUCAGAAGCACUGUUUUGGGAUUUUAUUAGAUUUACGUGCUGGGCAUCGCGGCGAGAAGGUACAAAAGUCAGCCAUUGUGACGGCCAUAUUGCGGUUCCAAUGAGUUUGUCUUUGUUUUCAGUUUGUUUGUUUUUCAAUAUUGUGUCCUACCCCUGGCUUCAAAUGUAAAUUUUGAGAAGAAUUUCAAAAAAAAAAAUCAGGCGAAGUUGUUAAUGAAAAUGUGCCUCGAAUACUUGAGAAAUUCCAUCAGUAAGUUUUCCAAAAUUGCAUCCAUGAAUAUAGGCAAAAAACAGAUUGCCAACAUCACACGCUGAGAGAAUCUUUGUCUCAGUAAAGCAUCCGGCAGGUGUUUUUAAAUGACUUUCUCCAUAACAAUAUCGCUGUAGUCUCUCACAAGAUUUUUAACUCGUUCUCCUUCAUGAUAUUAUACAUUAGAAUAACUACCCUAAUAAACCAAUACCAUACACGGACCGUAAUGUAGAUGGUUCAACAAUACCGUAACUGGUCGAACUGUAUGCCAAAUGGUUGGUUAAGCACGUCUUAAGGUCUUAACGUGACAAACAUUUUGCCAAACAAGGUAAACAAAUGGCCAACACAACGUAAAUCAUAGCAACCUUGGAUAAAUGUUGGACUUCAAGCACAGAGAACAGACGUUUAAGCUCGAACAAAAAUACGUCGAAAUCGUGUGUAAAGGAUUUACGUGUACCUUAACGCCACCAACGGAGACUGCCCCACAUAUAAAGUCGAUUUGACCCCACGAUGGCAGUGUUCUUCGUUAAAAUACACUAGCCCACAAAGCGACACGAGCGCCAAACGGCCAAAAACGGCGAACACUGGAAACAAAUAUGACAACACAACAAUGUAAGUGAUGGGACGCUAGCGCCGCUCAACGGUAGCAUAACCACAUACUCUGAAAAGACCGUUACAAAGUUUUACACAAGGCAGAAAGCGAAGAUAGACGUCUGUUCUCUGUGCUUCAAUGGCAAACAUUUGCCAUUAUGACAAACAGUCUAAUGGCACCUUCAUGGUUAUGGUUUAUGCGAGUAGCCACAGAAGUUCAAUGUUGCUACUGUUCUGGCAAUAAAUCGGGAUUUGGAAUGUUGCCCAAAUUGUUGAUAAUUGUCGUUUCCAUUUCUUUCAGUAAUUAUUUCGAGAAUUUCGAGGAAUACCACUGGAAUGCUUUCCAAAGAGUGUGGACAUGAAAUUUGUCAUCAAUUCGUAUACGAAAUCUUCCAUUGAAUCCAUUUGCGACCUUUUCAGGGAUUUGUCUUUCAUUUUACCGACCAUCUUGUGAAGGGCAUAGUUCUGAAAUUGCGUGUUUUUUCUUCUAGAAACUGCAAGUCCACUCAAUGACAUGUCUGCUACGAGAUUCCUCAAACGGAGUGACAAGACUCCCUCUUGGGAGCAUCCACAAACACUCAGUUCACUGAUCGCUGCUUGACGGGAAGCAUGUACGCAAGACAUUUCUUAUGCUGAGGAAACAAGGAUUCGUUGCUGAUGUUAAGCCUUAAGGAACUUAUGGAACCCGUUGCUUAGAGGUUUGCUUUUUUAGGUUUUUCUUGGGAAAUCUGUCAAACUACUGUCACACACACGCAAACGUAUGCAUUGAGUGGGAACCUCAUAAGUGAUUUGACUAUUUCCACAGUCAACAUCUGUCCCUUGCAAUAACUUAAAACUAUGAAAGAAAAUGCAGUGCUAGUUUCUAGUAUGAUUUUUUUCUGUAAAUUCUGCCAAUGUUGACAUGUUUAACCCUAGUAGAUGUUUGGGUCAAUAUGACCCAGACAGGCACGCCAAACGUGCACUACACCAUCGUGGUGCGAAAAACCUAACUUCUUAGGAGGGUUAAGGUGAAUAUAUAACGAAGCCACACCUCGAUUUUUCGAGAGCACACAUCUGAAGAACCGAAUGUCGGUUUGAGCUAAAAAGUUGAUCGAUUGGUUACCCGCUGGUGGCGACCAAUCGAUCAACUUUUCAGUGCAAACCGACAUUCGGUUCUUCAGAUUUGUGCUCUUGAGAAUUCGAGUUGUGGCUUCGUUAUAUAUUCACCUUAAAAUUUCAUUGAAUCUGUAAUUGGGUUGUUCUCAGUCAUCAAUGCAUAACUUAUUUAUUUGCAAAACAUACUGGAACACUUGGAUACUACCUAGAGGUGACCUCCCUAAGUACAAGUAACUCCGUGUAACUGGACUGAUGUUUACGCAUGAUAUUUGGUGCAAGCUUAAUGGACGACACGUACCUGAUGUUAUUUAUGGUACUUAUAAUAAAUCAAGCAUAUUUCAAGUCAGACGACAUGCUAACGAUAAAAUACGAUCGGCAACGACGACAUCAGAAUCGAUCUUGAAGUCCUGUCGUACAUGACACAAGACAUCUAUUACAAUGUAUGUAUGUAGGUACAUUGAAAUAUUUAACAUGGUAGCUCACAUCGCUGUUAAAUUGAACAAGUUUCGUAAAUUGCUUCCUAUCAUCCUACUCGCGAUUGAAUACUUAUGCCGUUUUUCUUUAUUAUCCAGUUCCAACCUGGGUUGGAACUGGAUCAGAUCACAGUUUCAACCCCAACCCGAUUUCGGUUUCGCUUGUACAUACUAAAGUUUGUUUGACGUUGUUUGUUUACAUAUUUUCCGCCAAUCCAGUUCCAACCCAGGUUCAAAAAGAAAAACGGCAUUAGUUUAGAGCUCAACCACAGACAAACAGACGUAACACUGGCGAAAUUUUCAUCGACCACGCUUUUAACGAUCAUUUUAAAUCUUUAUAGUUUUUCUUUGGGCUUGUUCACAAAUGUCGUAACGCUGGAGGGGGAGGGUGGGUGUCCUUCAUGGUGUUACAGCUCGAACAAAAUAAAAUUUUCCCCAUAUAAACAGUGUUACGAAGGGGUGGGUGGGUGUUGAAAACGACCAAUUUUAGCGUUAUGACAUUUGUGAAUGAACCCUUUGCAUCGUUUUUCUAUGUAUUUGACGUUUCACAGUAGCGGCUUCUGUUGACGAUAUUGCACAUCGUAGUGUGUUGUGCAACAUUUCCACCAGGUGAUGAUAGUGUGAAAUGAGCGAUGGAUUUUCACGAAAAUUGUUUUAGGUGUUACGUCUGUUUGUCUGUAGCUCAACUAUUCAGUAGACUCCCAAAAUCCCGAUCAUCAGCCAACUGCUUCAAAUGGAAAGUUUUCCAUUGUCAAACUAAUCGCCUUAACAGUAGUAGUGUGGCCAUUUUUUAUGGUAAUUCAUCGAUAAAAAUCCCUAAAAGUCUACCAACGCAACGACAGCCUACGAAAGUCAGAAAGCUCUCUGCUGGAGCACGUCCGAAUCAGGCCGAAGAAAACAACUACUACGCAUUGAACAUAACACAACAAUUUAUAUGUAAAUUCGGGACAUCGUCCGGCUAAUUUAUGCCGCUGCUGCGCUCGGACUCUAGUCUGUAGGCUAGGUUGGUCCAGGUCCAGAGAGGCUCUAAGAGGAGCAUUGUAUUAGGUGGCCAUCGCAACGUGGAGUACGCGGACGCGGUUGAAAGCUCCCUCGAACUCCGAAACGAGAGCUUGAAACAACUUAACGCCAGCGUUAAUAAUUACCCAUUAAUACGUUUGGAUGAACGACGACGCGUGAAGCGGUGAAAACGCCGCCGUGCAUCAACAUUCAACACACUUGUUGAACUUCACUUUACUACAAUCUCAAGGACACUCGUCGUCGCCGUUGUUGCCGCGGUCGUUCCUCGUAGGUAUGAUCCAGCCUUUUGCGGUUUCCUGGAGUGCUCAAGGCGAGCCGAGAGGUCCGAGGGGCGAGACACAUACACACAUUCGAGGAGAGAACGACCUCGGCCGCUUCGGGACCUCUCUAAGCGUUGGCCGUCCGUUGAUCGGGUUGUGAACUUCUAAAAUAAAAAAGAAUCCACAAAAAAUAA